UACAGAGGGUGCGAGCGUUAAUCGGAAUUACUGGGCGUAAAGCGCGCGUAGGCGGCUUUGCAAGUCGAGUGUGAAAUCCCCAGGCUUAACCUGGGAACUGCAUUCGAGACUGCAUAGCUAGAGUAUGGGAGAGGGAAGUGGAAUUUCAGGUGUAGCGGUGAAAUGCGUAGAUAUCUGGAGGAACACCGGUGGCGAAGGCGGCAUCCUGGACCAACACUGACACUGAGGAGCGAAAGCCAGGGGAGCAAACGGG
rnacentral:rRNA from 1 species